GACUGUUUUUUUUAAUAUCUUAACUUAUUAUUGCGUUAAAAAUAUAUUUUUAAAUUAAUUACUCGAUACACAAAUUUCGAUUUAAAAUCCAACUUAAUAUAUGUUACUAUUUUGAAUUCGGCAUUUCCACCCCGUUUUCUCCCUUCACAUUAAAGGCGGGAAUAUGGCGCGCACUUAUAUCAAUCGAUCCAUUUAAAUUCAUUUCUCAGCCGUUCCUACAAAUGUUUGAUUUCAACCGGAAAAAAGAAAAAAGAAAAAAGCUUCGAUGCAGGAAAUGUUCCCACGAUCUCCUGCUGAUGCUGCUUCCAUGG
rnacentral:lncRNA from 1 species